UAACCACCCCAUCUUUUAAAACACAAAAAAAAAAAAAGAACCCUGAUACAAUACGUAUACAAUACGUCGUCUUCUUCGUUUUCAAACACACCAAACCCUAAUAGUAAUCUCAGCCGCCAAAUCUCUUUUCCGACAACACCGUCGCCGAGGAUGAUGAUGAUCGAUGACGAUGAGAUGAUGAACGAUGGUUAUAACCGGCGAUGAUCGGAAGUUGAAGGUGGUCGAAACAAUAGAGAUUAUCGUCCAGUGAUUAUCGUUCAGAGGUGGUGGUCAGUGGUGUCGUGAUGACAGUUGCAGUUUAACGGCGACGAUGGUUUUGUUUUACUCGAUGAGUUUCUUCAGUGGAACCUGACGACAGUAGUGGUGGCGGUCUGUAUUGACUCGGGCCAACAGUGGACGAAUCUCGAGUCCACUCAGUCAGAUUCUUGAUUCGGGAUUGUUUUAUGCGCGGUUCAGGCUCGGUGGAAUCUCGGUUCAGCUGGUUCAGUUGCGGGUCAAAUCCAGGUAUGGUUGAUCAACUUAGGACAAACGCUUUAUCUGCCGAGCAAACCAAGACGUUUAGGUGCAAAGCAGAGGAACUUGAUGUCUGGGAAGCUGGAGUGGUCAUGGGUCAAGUUACAUGGAAACGCAAUGCAAGACUAAGAGCUUUUAUAUGUGGUUUGUAAACACUUAACGAAUAAAAUAUGCUUCCGCUGUAAACUGUAAAUUAUUGUAUCGUUGUAACACUUAUUGUUGAUAAAUGAAAGUUUUAUUU